UACGUAGGGGGCAAGCGUUGUCCGGAAUCAUUGGGCGUAAAGCGCGUGUAGGCGGCCAGGUAAGUCCGUUCUGAAAGCCCGGGGCUCAACCCCGGGAGGCGGAUGGAUACUGCUUGGCUCGAGUCCGGAAGAGGCGAGUGGAAUUCCCGGUGUAGCGGUGAAAUGCGCAGAUAUCGGGAGGAACACCAAUGGCGAAGGCAGCUCGCUGGGACGGUACUGACGCUGAGACGCGAAAGCGUGGGGAGCAAACAGGGAUUAAGA
rnacentral:rRNA from 1 species